GAAAGUUUCUGCUCCAGUGGUGGGAACACACCCUUUCUCACUAAGCUUAUUAUGUACUGGUGCAUUUUUUGAAUUACAAUUCUCCAUCAGCCUGCCCCUUUUAUUUGAAGCCCUCAGUUGUGAUUUCCAAUGCAGCUUCUGACUUUGCCCUUGGUAUUCAUACUUUUGAGAGUCUGUUCCCUUCAUUAACAUCUCAGGGACCCCCAAAGUAAUACUUUGAACCACGUGACAUAUCCGUUUUGUGAGUUGAAAGCAGUUGGAUAUUAACAAUUUCUUAUAAUUCAACUUCAUGUACCCACUCGAGGUCUCUUAUUUGGGACACAUCAUUCUGCCUUAGUCCGAAUUGAAGGCAGCUGAGUACUUCUGGGAACGGCAGAUCAUCUUCUUUCAAGACUACCUAGAGUUUGCCACUUUUUGGCUGGGAUCCUUGUAUAAGCCACAGACAAAACCACAGUUCAUUUGGUGGCUGAAGCUUACUGAAAACUUCCUUUCGUCUUGAUGCAGCCAGCUUUUUGGAUUACAUGGCAAGGGUGGCCUGAGCAAAGCGAUGGGAAAGAGUUGUUGGUGGAACAGUUUGUCCUGAGAGUCCUCCCUGCAUGCACAAGAAUCCCCAUCACAGGCUCUCCACUGGGAAACCCCAUCUGGGACAAAGGGAAAGAGCUUGGUGCAAUGGAAGGAUAGCAAGGGGACCAGCAUGGCUAAAGCCCAAACUUAAAACAAAUCUUUUGUAGAGUCAGGAUCUCCUAUGUUGCCCAGGCUGACCUCAAACUCCUGGGCUCAAGAACUUCUUCUGCCUCAGCGCCCCCAAAGUGCCAGGAUUACAAGUUGCAAUUUUCAAGAGGACCAAGAGGCAAACAUACAGUGCUGAGCACAGAAGUGCAGCUUGGCUGCUUUGGAUCAGGAUCUGGCUUUGUUCCCUGUCUCACACUUUUUCUCCAGCCAGUUUUGGGGAAGAAAUGUCCCAGUCUAGAAAUCCAACUGACCUAUCUUCCUCCAAUUACACAUUGAAA
rnacentral:lncRNA from 10 species